GGAAUCUUGCACAAUGGGGGAAACCCUGAUGCAGCGACGCCGCGUGAGCGAUGAAGCCCUUCGGGGUGUAAAGCUCUUUCGGCAGGGACGAUAAUGACGGUACCUGAAGAAGAAGCUGCGGCUAACUACGUGCCAGCAGCCGCGGUAAUACGUAGGCAGCGAGCGUUGUUCGGAGUUACUGGGCGUAAAGAGUGCGUAGGCGGUGUUCCAAGUCUGGUGUGAAAUCUCCCGGCUCAACCGGGAGGGUGCGUCGGAAACUGGGAUGCUGGAGUAUGGGAGAGGUAAGCGGAAUUCCUGGUGUAGCGGUGAAAUGCGUAGAUAUCAGGAGGAACACCCGCGGUGUAGACGGCUUACUGGACCAUCACUGACGCUGAGGCACGAAAGCGUGGGGAGCAAA
rnacentral:rRNA from 1 species